CAUGGUUAGAUCAACGCCAAUAUCGAAUUAAGGAAAAGAGGCAAAGGUUAAGUCUUAAUCUCAGCAGAAAGCAAAGGUGAGCCAAAUAGUUCUUCGCGAAGGAGGCCACCGUAGCGCAGAGCUGUUAGUAUCCCCUCUUUAUACUGGCUGCGUUCGUAAGGCACUCCCCAAAAAGUUGUCGCACUGCGGCACGCCGUUCGGACUCGGCAAUAAAAUGGCGCCCUCUUAUCAUUAAGCUUUCGGAUAGCAUUUAAUGAUAUAUGGGGAUGAAGGAGUGCUGUUGCAUUAUGGGUCCAUUACACUGUCAAGUGAACGUUUGGAGGAAGGGCGGCUUCGAAUCCAGUCCGAAAUGCAUCAUUCACCACUAAAACAAUCCCCGGCCAGCAGUAUUGAAGGCGGUACAAGUUGGAC